CUACAGGGGUUUCUAAUCCUGUUUGCUCCCCUAGCUUUCGUUCCUCAGCGUCAGUAGUGAUCCAGCUCGCCGCUUUCGCCACGGGUGUUCCUGCAGAUAUCUACGCAUUUCACCGCUACACCUGCAAUUCCACGAGCCUCUCUCACACUCAAGCACAGCAGUUUUGGAAGCAGCCUCUGGGUUGAGCCCAGAGAUUUCACUCCCAACUUGCCACACCGCCUACGAACCCUUUACACCCAGUAAUUCCGAACAACGCUGGCCCCCUACGUCUUACCGCGGCGGCUGGCAC
rnacentral:rRNA from 1 species